rnacentral:rRNA from 1 species
AGAACGAACGCUGGCGGCGUGGAUAAGACAUGCAAGUCGAACGCUGACAUUUAGGUAGCAAUAUUUGAAUGUCGGAGUGGCGCAAGGGUGUGUAACACGUGGGCAAUCUGCCGUGAAGACUGGAAUAACUCGCUGAAAGGCGAGCUAAUACCGGAUGUGAACGCAAGUUCAAAGUUGGGGACCGCAAGGCCUGACGCUUUACGAUGAGCCCGCGGCCUAUCAGCUAGUUGGUGAGGUAACGGCUCACCAAGGCUAAGACGGGUA